rnacentral:snRNA from 1 species
AUACUUAUCUGGAUGGGUCAAUGGGUGAUCAGUAAGGCCCAUGGCCUAGGCUAGUGACCUCCAUUGCACUUUGGAGGACCUAAGUGGUUGAGCCUACGUCAUAAUUUGUGGUAGUCCGCGUUCGCGCGGCU